GAGUUUGAUCCUGGCUCAGAUUGAACGCUGGCGGCAUGCCUUACACAUGCAAGUCGAACGGUAACAGGUCUUCGGACGCUGACGAGUGGCGAACGGGUGAGUAAUACAUCGGAACGUGCCCAGUCGUGGGGGAUAACUACUCAAAAGAGUAGCUAAUACCGCAUACGAUCUGAGGAUGAAAGCGGGGGACCUUCGGGCCUCGCGCGAUUGGAGCGGCCGAUGGCAGAUUAGGUAGUUGGUGGGAUAAAAGCUUACCAAGCCGACGAUCUGUAGCUGGUCUGAGAGGACGACCAGCCACACUGGGACUGAGACACGGCCCAGACUCCUACGGGAGGCAGCAGUGGGGAAUUUUGGACAAUGGGCGAAAGCCUGAUCCAGCAAUGCCGCGUGCAGGAUGAAGGCCUUCGGGUUGUAAACUGCUUUUGUACGGAACGAAAAAGCUUCUCCUAAUACGAGAGGCCCAUGACGGUACCGUAAGAAUAAGCACCGGCUAACUACGUGCCAGCAGCCGCGGUAAUACGUAGGGUGCGAGCGUUAAUCGGAAUUACUGGGCGUAAAGCGUGCGCAGGCGGUUAUGUAAGACAGAUGUGAAAUCCCCGGGCUCAACCUGGGAACUGCAUUUGUGACUGCAUGGCUAGAGUACGGUAGAGGGGGAUGGAAUUCCGCGUGUAGCAGUGAAAUGCGUAGAUAUGCGGAGGAACACCGAUGGCGAAGGCAAUCCCCUGGACCUGUACUGACGCUCAUGCACGAAAGCGUGGGGAGCAAACAGGA
rnacentral:rRNA from 1 species